rnacentral:rRNA from 1 species
CGGUGUUCAACUGGCGUGCCCGCGGGACGUCCUGCCGGUGAGCUCAGCCCGCGAGGGCGGCUCAACUUGAAAUCCCAUCGCGGUGCUCUUCAUUGAGUGUCGAGGUGGGCCGGCACGAUUACUUUUGAACAAAUUAGAGUGCUUAAAGCAGGCUAAAAUUUUGCCUGAAUACUGUGUAUAUGGAAUAAUGGAAUAGGACCUCGGUUCUAUUUUGUUGGUUUUCGGAACCCCGAGGUAAUGAUUAAUAGGAACGGAUGGGGGCAUUCGUAUUGCGACGUUAGAGGUGAAAUUCUUGGAUCGUCGCAAGACGGACUAAAGCGAAAGCAUUUGCCAAAAACGCUUUCAUUGAUCAAGAACGAAAGUUAGAGGUUCGAAGGCGAUCAGAUACCGCCCUAGUUCUAACCAUAAACUAUGCCAGCUAGCGAUCCGCCGACGUCCCUCUGAUGACUCGGCGGGCAGCUUCCGGGAAACCAAAGCUUUUGGGUUCCGGGGGAAGUAUGGUUGCAAAGCUGAAACUUAAAGGAAUUGACGGAAGGGCACCACCAGGAGUGGGAGCCUGCGGCUUAAUUUGACUCAACACGGGAAACCUCACCAGGCCCAGACACUGGAAGGAUUGACAGAUUGAGAGCUCUUUCUUGAUUCAGUGGGUGGUGGUGCAUGGCCGUUCUUAGUCGGUGGAGCGAUUUGUCAGGUUAAUUCCGAUAACGGACGAGACUCUGACCUGAUAACUAGACGCACUUGCGGCAUCUCAAAGGUCCGCCGGCGGCUGGCUUUGCGCCCGUCGUCGCGCGCGAUUUUUACUGCCGGCGUACAAUAAAUUCUUCUUAGAGGGACAAGUGG